UGAUCUCGGAGAUGUCUGAGAAGCCUGGAUAUGAGAUGUGUACAGAGCUUAAAUGAGUUGCCAAGGAAAUGCUACAUCUAGUGCCAAGUAAAGAGAACUUCUGGCUCAUGCUCCGUGCAAUUAAACAGUGGGCAAAACGACAUGGCAUUUACUCCAACCUGCUGGGAUUUCUUGGUGGGGUUUGCUGGACAAUGCUGGUAGCAAGAACAUGUCUGCUCUAUCCAAAUGCUUUGGCUUCUGCUCUUGUGAACAA